UCAGGGGUGAAAUCCCACAGCUCAACUGUGGAACUGCCUUUGAUACUGUCAGUCUAGAGUAUAGUUGAAGUUGGCGGAAUGUGUCAUGUAGCGGUGAAAUGCUUAGAUAUGACACAGAACACCGAUCGCGAAGGCAGCUAGCUAAGCUAUAACUGACGCUCAUGCACGAAAGCGUGGGGAUCAAACAGGAUUAGAUACCCUGGUAGUCCACGCUGUAAACGAUGAUUACUCGAUGUUGGCGAUACACAGUCAGCGUCUGAGCGAAAGCAAUAAGUAAUCCACCUGGGGAGUACGAUCGCAAGAUUGAAACUCAAAGGAAUUGACGGGGGCCCGCACAAGCGGAGGAGCAUGUGGUUUAAUUCGAUGAUACGCGAGGAACCUUACCUGGGCUCGAACGUAAGAUGACUGUAGGUGAAAGCUUACAUCUCUUCGGAGCAUCUUACGAGGUGCUGCAUGGUUGUCGUCAGCUCGUGCCGUGAGGUGUCGGGUUAAGUCCCAUAACGAGCGCAACCCCUACCUUUAGUUGCCAUCAGGUCAUGCUGGGGACUCUAAAGGAACUGCCUACGCAAGUAGUGAGGAAGGCGGGGAUGACGUCAAAUCAGCACGGCCCUUACGUCCAGGGCUACACACGUGCUACAAUGGCCGAUACAGAGGGCAGCUACCUGGUGACAGGAUGCAAAUCUCCAAAGUCGGUCUCAGUUCGGAUCGGAGUCUGCAACCCGACUCCGUGAAGUUGGAUUCGCUAGUAAUCGCGCAUCAGCCAUGGCGCGGUGAAUACGUUCCCGGGCCUUGUACACACCGCCCGUCAAGCCAUGGAAGCUGGGGGGACCUAAAGUCGAUAACCGCAAGGAGUCGCCUAGGGUAAAACCAGUGACUGGGGCUAAGUCGUAACAAGGUAGCCG
rnacentral:rRNA from 1 species